UAUAUGUCAAUUCAUGUAUAUAUACACACAUAUAUAUAUACACAUACAUACACCGCAUUUAUAUUUUACAAAAUUAUGACUUUACGUAUAAAUAAUUUGACAUAAUUUGAGUGUUCUUUUGACAUUCAACAUCUACCUAUAUUAUGAGCACUUUGCCACAUUAUUAAAAACUCUCCUAAAACUUUUAAAAUCAUGUGGAAACAACAUAUUGUAGCCAUUCUCUCACGGGUGGAUAUUUAUGCGUUUUCACCGUUAAUGUGACGUUGAACAAUUCUGUACAUAAGUCUUAGCAUCUCUCUGAUGAUUUUCUGAGGGUAGGGCCUUAGACGCGGAAUUUAAGGGGUUAAAUAUUUCAAGGCUGAUAAACACUGCCAAAUUGCUCUGCAGAGCGAUUCUGAAUUUAUUCCUCUCAGCACUGUGUGACCGUGUCCAUUUCUCCCUGGCCACCACUGUGUUUUAACAUUUAAAAAAUGAUCGUGAACAGUUGUAUGUGUCUUACGACAUGAACACUCCAUUGAGGCACUGACAUGGAGACUUUAAAAGCAGCAGAGCCCAAGGCUAUGGUUACUGCUUGCUUUUUCUUUUUGGCUACCCCCUGGUUCCUCAAAAGGAUGUAAGGGAGCAGAAGCCAGCAGUGCCCCAACCUGAGUUUACUCAGCAGGUGUCUACUUGUUUACAAAUGAAGUGUUUGCAAAUUACAAUGGAUGUUAAUGAAUUCUACGUAAAUCUUACAGUAAAAUGAGUAUGAGUAAUCACGGUCUGAUUAUCUCUGGUAAUUCAUAUUUUCAUAAAUCAUUUUGCUUAAAGAAUCUUGCCUGAGGAUCUAACACCUAUAAAAAGGAAGAGAAACUUAGAAAGACGUUACUACCUUAGAAAUGAAGACCUUAACAGAGUACCCUCCCCCCCGCCCCCAGCCAGUACUGUUUCACUCCGACCACCUUGGCUGUGAAUGGAAGGGAGGGGUCUCAGAAGACGUCCUGGAGCCAGUCUCCUUGUGCCUGGAUCUCUUGGUAAAUCACACCCUGUGGCUGUGUGUGCUACCUUGAAUAGCAGCAUCUCUUCAGCCUCCCCUUGGGACAGUACAUGCACUGGCAUCUCUGAAAGAGGGGCCCGGAUGCUCAAAUGCCAGGCCAUAAACAGCCUCAGACAAACCACACACGCCAUGCACUAAUGCAGAAUCUGAUGGGAACAGCCAGUACGGACCAACAGCACGGCCUGGCCCACUGAAGCAGAUGUCUGAAGCAGACAGAAACACCCUCCCUUGCCACUGUAACUAAGGCGUGACCAACGCACAGAAUCGACACAGUCAAACCAGCUGCCCCAGAUGCUCCCGUCCACGGAGGCAUGGUUCAGUGCGAUCACCAGGAGAUGUGAGUGAGCCCUGUGCGCUUGGGAACAGGUUACAGUUAACGUAAUAAAAUCACCUUUGAGGGAUAAUUAUAAUUUUCUGAUGGCUGAUUAUAGAUUCUGAAACCAGCCCAGACAGGAAGACAUGUGUAUGGUAUGCUUAAGAAGAAAGCAGGGCAAAUGCGUGUUCCAUACUUCCCUAUUUAAAAGAAAGAAAGAAAAAGUCAAAAGUUUGCCACAAGCACGUGUAAACACCAGCAACAUUUAGGAUACCGCCCCACCUCAAGCCGUCUAAAAUUGUGCUGGGGACCAGGUAAUAUUCUUAAAUGAGACACACACACAAAAAAACAAACAAAAAAACAGGUCAAAUUAAAACUAUCAGGUGCUUUUUAACAGGCACAUUCUAUCCACUGUAUUUUUAAAGUAUAUUUAAUAUAAUGCCCUGAUUUCUUGCGCAUGUAAAUUACCUUUUACAUUAGCUUUUGAGAGCCUUCAUUUUUAAAUGUAUUUAUCGAAUGUAUCGAGUUACAUAUAAUACACAAAGCUGUAGGAAGCAUUUGCACACUGCCUAUAGUCGCAAACACAAUACUCACCCCCUCUAGAUCCUAUAUGUCAGGAAGCCCUGAUACAACAUUGUCUAAUUGUUCAGUGUCUACUUCCAAAAAUUGCUCAAAAGCCAUUUCUUAAAAAGUGAGAUUAAGGAGGGGAAAAGGAAGAAUUCUGCCAAACAGCGUUGUGAUAAGCUUGGAAUUUCUUGAUUCUGUUACAACCAAGAUACCUCCUCUAUUUAAGAACACUCCCCAUUGUUUCAGAAAAAGGAAGGUGAAUUUUAAGAUAAAGUUUCUUACCCACAAUGUUUCCUGGCACAAAAACAACAAUGCUCAUGAUAAUAGAUCCAACCCAGUAGAGGCCAAUGGUUCUAUAGCUUUCCCUGUAAUGAAAAAAUCUUGGCUUAGUGCACUUGUCUUAGAACACCCAUUAGCAAAAGAUGAUCCAUAUUAUUAGCGGUAUCCUAACUAGUAAAGUCUAUGAACCGAAACUUACUGAAUCGAUAGUUAAAAAUCAACCCUCGGGGACCCUGGUGAUCAAACUUCAUUUCCACCUGUGAUCUAUACCAUAGAACCCUCUUUGUGUCCUUUUGAAUAGGAAUUUCGCUUGCAACACUGGUCGUCUGUUAAUCUACAGCACAAUCACUGUCAAAGGAAGUCCCUCAUUUUUGACGGUUUUGUAAGAAGUUCCCAGCAGGAAAGGAAAAAAGAAAGUUCACAAAAAGAAAGGAAAUGGACCCAUAUUUUAAAUCACUGUAAGUAUGAGUAAUAGGAUGGUAAGUGGACUUUUCAUGGUGUCAGAAUUUUGGCCAGAGCUCUAGAGACAAAGAUAAUAUGUAACCCCUCCCCCGUGUUCAAAAGGAGCCACCAGACACCCCUGACCUUACCAGGCAGUGUGGACAAAAAGCUCUUUCAGCCGAUAACCCUGACAGCCCACCUCCACAAGGGGCUAUGAGGAAUCAAAAGGAGAUUAUCUGAAGGGAAACAGGUGGCCGAUACUGUGUUUUCUGCCUGCCCCACCUCCCAAGCCAAGUGCAGCAGAUUCACAAUGACUGGGAUUGUCAGCAGGAGAAUCUUCUUCCCCAGCAGGAUGCUAACUGAGCCACAGAAACUCGCCCACUCCCGGCAGCCUCCGAGCAGAGCCCAGGCAUUCUCUGAAAUACGUGACAUGGUCCCUGGAACUUGGGUACCUUUCAUGAUGGGAGAAGCCAGUGCCUAGAAAAGUCCAAAACUUAGCGGGAGCUGUCCCUGAGUUCAUGACUGAGGCAGCAGGGGCGUGGGGCAAGAAUGCAUCAUUUUCUCUAACCUGGAGCCAAGGGGAGGCCCAGGAACCUAGCUGGGCUUGAAGAGAUCCUACCCCAAAGGGUAUGCGAUCUAGGUUACAGGGACCCCAACGGAAAGAAGCUGCGGGUGUACCACCAAUGGCAGAGGAGUCCCACACAUUCAGCCAGAGAGAGCUCUGCUCGCUUGGAUUUGCAACGCCCAGGUUCCUGUGGAAGGGCCUCCCGAGAGGCCACACGUGCUCCACGUGACAGACCUAGCAUAUCCUAACGGAGGGCAUCAAUCCCCAGAAAACUAAGUGUCACUUAAGACCCUGCCCCUCUUCCUUUAGCUCCACGUGUACGUACAUACACAUUCCCGGAGAGGCCAGCGGCACGGCGACUCGAGAAAGAACAAAAUGAGAGGCCAUACGCCCUGACCUCAGUGCAGACCCCCACGCCUCAGGGCCACACGGGAACCGGAGGUGGAGGAAAGACAGAGCUUCGAACCAAAAUGAGAUGGAAGUUUAAAACCAGAAUGAACUGGGCUUUCACUCCAGCAAAUGAGACAGUCCUUAGAACACAGUCAGUAACUUGAGCGGUCUGCCCAAGCUUGUCACCACGGCAGGGGACGAUCCAGAGGGCCAAGUUCAAAAGGCAGCGAUGCCAAGAAAACAAAGCCACGUCUAACCUGUGUCCAAGGAGCGUAUGUUCAUGUCCGUGUAUGCCUGUCUGUGUAUUUGCCCCCACAUCUGUGUUUUCCUUCCGUACCCGCGUACCGGUUGCUAAGGCAAAGGCACACACAGCAGACGGACCGACUUACUCCCAUGCUAUGGCUGCCACCAUCACCAGAUACAUCAAAUAAUGAGCAGAGCCAUCCCAGUAGCAGAUCAUGUGCCCGUACGCCGUGUUCAGAUACGGUUCACCCUAAGGAGAGAUUAAGAAAUGAGUCUACUUUACAUAUGACUCGGACAUCUCCACACAGAACUCCAGACCUGUGUUUCAAGUCAAAUGAAACAGCAGAACCAGCUUGUGUCUGUCGGCUAACUUGAAACUAUGCAGAAUCCUGUACAAUUACAAAUUGGUAGGCACAUGAAAACACAGCUUUACCCUGGAGCCCCCAAAACUGGAGCCUGCCACGGGAUGGCCCUGAAGAAUGCCCAGCCAGCAUCUGACUGGCUGGGCCAAUGCCCGUGGAUGGCGAUACAAGACAGACAGCCUCAUGGACAAUCCGCUAAUGCACUGAGGCCAAGUCAAAAAUGAGACUCAGGGCGCUUAGCUCUGGCCAGAGGACGGUGGCCAGAGGAGACCCUGCUCACCAGAGCCACCGGCCGACCUUCCCGAUUCACCUACGUGCUCAUCCCCAGGCUUGCAUGAGUGAGGACGAGGAAGGCACUCUGCCCCCCACACAUGGACAGACAGAUGGGCACCCAACCGCCGUAUGGGACAGACAACGAUUGACUCCAUUUUACAGAUGAAACAGAGCGCCAAGGGGUUGUGAGACCGGCCUAAGGUCACACAGUUGACAUCUAGCACAGAGCAUACUGUCAAGAAAAGCCAUACUUCUCCUGAGGAUUUUUCCAUUUUACAGCCAUGAGAUCCCAUGACGAGUGACAUGUCGUGCUCCCAGAAGGCUACAAGAUCACUGUCCGAUUUGCAUGGGUUUUUCGUUUCCUUCUGAGUCUCGUGUUCCUUUCUUCUCUCUCCCACGUCCAUGCCAUCCCGCCUUGUUUCUGGCCUGUCUUCCUAAGAUGCCCUCAGUCCUUUCUGCGGCCAGAAAAGUCAGAUCAGCCAGCCAGGAGGGGCCCCUCUGAAGCAUGGUGUGUCCGGGGCAGGGCCUGCCCGGUCCUCUCUCCCCGCAAGUAAGAUGGAAUGAGAACUAGCGAGGAGGCAGAAAUAACACAGCAGCUGGACUUCUGUGCCCACGCCUGACGCACAUCUUUUCUCCCUGACAUGCUUCGACUGAACAAUCCAAUCUGAUUUCAUGACUUUAAUUGUUCAUGCCUACACAUCGGGCUCUCAGAGCCGGUGCUGGCUCCCCUGGUGGCUUCAUGGACACUUUUUUUUCUUAAUUUAAAAAAAAAUUUUUUUAAGGUUUAUUCAUUUUACAGAGACAGAACACGAGGGGAGGAGGGGCAGAGAGAGAGGGAGACACAGAAUCCGAAGCAGGCUCCAGGCUCCCAGCUGUCAGCACAGAGCCUGACGCGGGGCUCGAACCCACAAACCGUGAGAUCAUGACCUCAGCUGAAGUCAGAGGCUUAACCGACUGAGCCCCCAGGUGCCCCAGGACAUUUGUAACUAGAUGCCCCACGGGCCCUUCAGAGUUUUCACGCAUCAGCUUCUGCCCUCAAUUGAGCCUCAGCUGGCUUCUCUUUUUUUUCUUUAAGUUUAUUUAUUUUGAGAGACACAGAGAGAGUGAGCCAGCAGGGGGUGGGGCAGAGAGAGAGAGAAUCCCAAGCAUGCUCCUCACUGUCGGCACAGAGCCCGACGCAGGGCUCGAUCUCACAAACUGUGAGCUAUGAUCUGAGCGGAAAUCAAGAGGCUGAUGCUCAAUUGAGCGCCCAUCCCCCUCCCCCUCCCUGCCCCCACCCCCAUCCCUGUGCCCCCGAGGCCUCUAUCUUAAGGAUGACACCACCCUGCCUGCCCAGCUGAAAGCCGCAGGGUCCUGUUUCCACCCCUCUCUCUCCUAUGCAGUGUGUGGGCACGUCCUUUCAUUUCUGUUUAUGAGGUCACCGCGGGCCACCCUCCCUCCGGUUCAAACCCUCCCUGCCCCUCACUCAGCCAUUCCCAAACGGUCCCUCUAGCUGCCUGCUCUCCUUCCAAUCCACCUGCCAAAUGAAGAGUCAUUAGCUCUUAACACAUUGCUCUUCUGUUCCAAAGGUUUCCAGAGCAAGCUUCCGCCUGCGGGACCAGGCCCGCCUCCUGUAUUUGGCAGCCGGGUGCCCAGAACCUGUCCCUGCCGACCUUCCCACGGUGACACCAGCCCACCUUCUCACACCCCGUCUGCCUCAGGGCUCGCCACCCUCAGCAGCUCGACCUCCGGGCCCUCUCAGCAGCCACUUUCUCCCCAAAACCUGCCCCCUCUGGACCCAGUGGCCCCAGGCUCCCCAGGCUUCCCUUCGGCGUCUCGGCCUGUCCCUUCGCAGUUUGCUUCAGGGGGCUCUUCUGGCCACGGCCUCCCAUAUUCCACCCUCCGGCAUCUCCUCUCUCCCCACUUCUUCCGAGCAGGCUCCCACUGAGAUGGCCCCCAAAUCUCUCCGCCAGGAAUGUUCCUCAGCGCUCAAGCCCUGCCAACCAGAACAUCUGCCAGGAUGUCCCUCAACCACCCAAAACUCCACACAUCCCCAGAUGAACUCAGCAUCAUCCCUGCAAACCUGCACCCCAGGCUGACUGUGGGGAGACACCUGCUGUUUCUCACCUCCAAGCUUUCGCUCAAGCUGUCCCUUCCCCUCGGAAUGCCCUCCACCCCCGCCCCCACCCCAGUCCAUCUGGAAAAUGUUUAUCAUCCACUGUCCUUGCCAUUUAAAAAAAUGCUAGGGGCUCCUGGGUGGCUCAGUCAGUUAAGCGUCCGACUUAGGCUCAUGAUCUCACAGUCCAUGGGUUCGGGCCCCCCAUCGGGCUCUGUGCUGAGAUCAGAGCCCGGAGCCUGCUUCGGAUCCUGUGUCUCCCUCUCUCUCUGCCCCUCCCACUGCUCAUGCUUGGUCUCUCAAAAAUAAACAUUAAAAUUUUUUUUAAAAAAUGCUACAGCAGUAUCACAAAUUCGAUGGGGACUCCCCUGACUGCUUCCGGACUUAGUUCUUCCUCUGUGCACAGGUAACACCUUGUUUUACUGCCUUUUGCUUCAUUGUGCAUCACAGACAAUGAGUUGUUUGUCUUGUGUUUUUUGUUUUUUGUUUUUUUACGAAUUAAAGCUCUGUGGCCACCCUCCAUCAGGCAAGUCUCAUGGGGCCAUUUUUCCAACCGCAUUUGCUCACUUUGUGUCUCUGUGUCACAUUUUAGUAAUUCCGGCAAUAUUUCAAACUUUGUCAUUCCUGGCAGAGUUGCUACGGUGAUCUGUGACCGGUGAUCUUUGCUGUUACUAUUGUGACUGUUCUGAGGCCCCACGAACCGCACCCACACAAGACGGUGAACUUAGCAACUGCUGGGUGUGUUUGACCGCUGCACCUCCCUGCACAGCAUCUUCCUAUCCUCGGCAAACGUCACUGUCGUCUUAUCCUAGGAAACGGCCACAGCCACCCCCACCUUCAGCGACCACCGCCCUGAUCAGUCAGCAGCCACCAACAUGGAGGCAAAGACCCUCCACCAGCAGAAGAUGACUCACCGGGACCUUCGACAGUGGUUGGCAGUUUUUGCAAUAAAGCAUUUUAAUAUUAAGGUAUGUAUGCUUUUUGGACCUAAUGCUAUUGCACACUUAACAGACUACAGUGUAGUGUAAACAUAACUUUUUUCUAAUGUUUAUUUAUUUAUUUUUGGGAGACAGAGCGCAAGCAGGGGAGGGACAGAGAGGGAGACACAGAAUCCGAAGCAGGCUCCAGGCUCCGAGCUGUCAGCACAGAGCCCGACGCGGGGCUUGAACCCACGAGCUGUGAGGUCGUGACCCGAGCCGAGGUCGGAUGCUUAUCUGACUGAGCCACCGGGCGCCCCAUAAACAUAACUUUCACAUGCACUGGGAAACCAAAACAUCCAUGUGAGGUGCUCUGUCAUGAUACUUGCUUUAACGCAGCAGUCUGGGACCGAACCCGUGAUAUCUCAUAGGUGUGCCCAUACGGUGUGCCCAGUGUGUGCCUCCAUCACUGCUCCUAGGACAGCUAGGACUUGUCUCCACUUGAGACAGCUCCUGGCGGGAGAAAGCAGGUCUCGUGACCCCACAGUCUACUCCGGCUACUGUCUUUAGAAGUAAAUUCCUCCGGUUCGCCCCUCUGGGCUUAAUAACACCUGCAUACGUCCAAAAGCAGGAGGCAGGAUGUCUUACUUUCCCAUCACCCCCAACUCAUCCUUGGGUCCCGCUCACUCCAAAGACUCCGGUUCUCUGAAGUUCGUCCCUCCUCCCUACCUCCUGUGCUUGGCCACCCGCCUGCCCUCACUGGCCCUGCAAAAGCCUCCCCUUCGAGCCCAUCCUUCCUAGAGCUGACUGCAUCGCUCCCUGGCUCAAAAUCUUCCCUCGAGUGUGAGAUAAAGUCCAAACUCCCUUAGCUUGCAGACGAAGCUCUCCAUUAUUUGAAACACAGACAAAGGCGAAACUUUCAGCUCUGCUCCUUCCUUAUUUCCUGUGUGACCUUGAGCAAGUGACCUAAGCUCUCUGGGGCCGGAUUCAUCCACCAUAACACAGGGAGGAGGAUUAGGUGUCUCAAGUGCCGGGCAGCACUAGCACAUGACAACGGGGAGGGAAGGAUGGUCAUCGCAAUCAAGUGGCUUCCGUAAGUGCCGUGGUGGUCGCCACUUUCCACAUGUAAGACCAGCCUGAGCUUUUGGCCGUAGUAAUGGUUUCACAGUAACAGACACCAAACACUGAAUUCACUUGGAGGAUCUCAUUCCUGGAGAAGGGGAGUGGAGCGGGUGUGAGGGAACAGGUGUACGACCGAACUCUGGAGAGAAGUGCCCCUGCUUUGCACGUGAGUAAACCCGCUGCGUCCGUGGCAGUGAGCGAUGCCACGGACCGUGCCUGCUUACACCAAACGGAGGGAUUUCGUCUCUGAGCCCCAUGGCUGAGGCUGCUGACCGUUUGGCAUAAGGCUUACGGUUGCUAAGCGAUGCCAUACCUCUCUCAAGUAGUGUGUCACAAACCCGUCAAUGAUUCCGUCCUGUUCCAGUGCUAUGAUGAGGUUCACCACACUGGUAAAUCCGAACACUGCAUACACUAGAGCAAAGAAAGCGAGAGUUUCCUUUUUAAUUAAAAAAACAUUUUUUUUUGUAAGUAACCUCUACCCCCAACCUGGGGCUCAAACCCCCAACCCUGAGAUCAAGAGUCGCACGCUCCACUGACUGAGCCAGCCAGGUGCCCCGAGAAAGCAGUAGUUUAAAAAGCAGUAGGUCAGGAGGGGGCGCCUGGGUGGCUCAGUUAAGCAUCUGACUCUUGAUUUUGGCUCAGGUCACGAUCUCAUGGUUGUGGGUUCGAGCCCUGCAUCCGGGCUCUCUGCUGACAGUGCAGAGCCUGCUUGGGGUUCUGUCUCUCCCUCGCUCUCUGACCAUCCCCCGCCCCUAAAAAAUAAAUAAAUAAACAUUAAAUUAAAAAAGCAAAAAGCAGUAGGUCAGGAGACAAUGACUAAGAGCUUGGCAUUCACCAGUAACAGUGACUUGUUUUUAAUGUGACUGUGGACACUCAUCAUGGGCUAACAGAAGGUCCCUCCUGCACACACACUGGUACCUUUGCCUGUGUCACUGCCCAAGUGCCCUGUCCAAGGAGACACCCGCCAGGGGGACAGAAUGACAAACUCACCUGCUAACUGUCCCACAGGAUUCUACCAGGCCCCCCCAUCCGUCCUCCGCUCCCUACAAGUGGCUGCCCAGGACCCCAUCUGCACAGAGGGAACAAAACCAGUAACCAGUGGCCAAGAAUAGAGGUGACCACAAGGUGGGUAUGUUUACAAUAAUGACUCAGGGGCACCUGGGUGCCUCAGUCAGUUAAGUGUCCGACUCCAGCUCAGGUCAUGAUCUCAUGGUUCAUGGGUUCGAGCCCCACAUCGGGCUCUGCUGACAGCUCGGAGCCUGGGGUCUGCUUCAGAUUCUGUGUCUCCCUCUCUCUCUCUCUCUCUCUGCCCUUCCGCUGCUUGUCUUCUGUCUCUUUCUCUCUCAAAAAUAAAUAAACAUUGGAAAAUAAAAAAAAUAAAACAGAAGCCAUGAAAAAGUAAGUGGGGAGGAGAGUGGCAGAGGUUAAUUCACAGAGAGGGGAAGCUGGCCUUGCCGAGUCUGCAGCUGGGGCCACGGGGUUCACAUUCUCACUGGGAGCGGAAGGCCCACGGCUGCCCUGCCGUGCACACCCUGCCUCCCUGUGCCUCCCAGGCCUGUGGUCCAGGCCUGGUAGUCUGGGAUCGGCCAUCAGGGAUCAGUCGCCAUAUGUCUCCCAGGAAAGGAAGCAUUUAGCGUCUGAUCACGGGACAGUUCCACCCUCGCUGAAGCUGACAGGAGCAUCAGAUGCUGGGUCACAGGUGGUAAGCACCCGCCCUGAGGCUUCCGUGUGCUCAAGGCUGUGACAGAGACAAAGAGAGAGGGCCGGGGGUGUGGGAGCAAGGGUGCUCAACCCUGGGGAGUCGGGACAGACACAAGUCAGCUAAGUAUGGGCACCACAGAGUGGCGGGGGGCCGGCGGGGGGAAGAUGGCAGCAGGAGACCUGUCUAGAAAGGUGGACCAGGGCCAGAGCAAAGGCAGGUAGUGUGGGGCAGGAGAAGAUGUGGGCCUUGAACUGGGACAGGUCCAGCUAAUCUACUGACUGGCUAUCCAAUCUUAGGCAAGUUGCAUCAUUUACCUAAACUUCACAGUUUUUCAAACAAAAUUUUUAAUGUUUAUUUUAGAGAGAGAGAAAGAAAGAGAGAGAGAGAGACAAAGUGCGAGUGGGGAAGGGGCAGAGAAAGAGUGAGACACAGAAUCCAAAGCAGGCUCCAGGCUCCAAGCUGUCAGUGCAGAGCCCAACAUGGGGCUCGAACUCACGAACCGUGAGAUCAUGACCUGAGCCGAAGUUGGACGCUUAACCGACUGAUCCACCCAGGCGCCCCUCAACUUUAGGGUUUUUUAUACGCAAGCUGGGAGAAAUUAGUUACUCCCAAUUCUUCUUUGCCUCCCCACCUUUGCCAAGAUCCACUGCGGGCAGAGAAUAUGCCCCAUGCCAUUGGUGAUAGACUCAGCCACAUGACUUGCUGUGGCCAGUGGAAUUGACAAUGGCCAACUCCAAGUCUCCUCUGCCAGGAGGAGGGCACACCUUGGGGAGCUACUGGUCCAAGAGCAAGGAGACACAUGACACAGCCCUGAAUCUGACCCACAGCCUGAAGCACAGCAUUCUGGCCAACCCGUGAGGAAGGAAAAUAGAUGUUUAUAGCCAAGACAUGGAAACACCCUACGUGUCCAUUGAUGGAUGAAUGGAUAAAGAAGAUACACAGACACAAUGGAAUCUUGGCCAUAAAAAAAAGAAGGAAAUCCUGCCAUUGGCAACAACAUAAAUGGAUUUCGAGGGCAUUGUCCUAAGUGAAAUAAGUUAUCCGGAGAAAGACAAAUACCGUAUGACCUCACUUACAUGCGGAAUCUAGAAAAGCUGAGUUCUCAGAAACAGAGCUUGGAACGGUGGUUGCCAGGGGCUGGGCCGGCCAGAAACCCUCAGACUGAGCUCCAGGGAGCCACGGGAGUCACAACUGCACAGACCUUUCAGGAGGACAAGGAAGGAGGGCCAGGUGGAAGCGUGUGGCCCGACCUGCGGCCAGAGUGAAGCCAGCUCCCCACACCCAAGGCCAGCAAGCCGGCGUCCACCCCACACCCGGGAGCUAAGGCUUUCGUAAAAGGUUUGGUGGGAAGGAAGCUUCAACUAAUCCAACUAUUUCAAACCUAACUGAAUGUCUGCUAUGCACAAGGCCCUGUGCUGGGCAAGACAAUACUCAGUAUAUUCCGUUUCAGACCAGCCACCUUUCAAGGACUCAGCAGCCACAGCGCCAGUGGCAUCUGUAUCGGACUUACCCCUCCUGUCAUGCUGACCCGGAUUCAGUUGCGCUCUCUGCUGGCUGCUGUUAAGAAUGGGUGUGGCAGUUACAUCACUAAUAAGCUUGUUCAAAUGUCCUGAACGACUCUACCGUGUUUCCAGUGUCGUUCUAAGACGUGGUCACACAAAGAUGAAUGACAAGUACAUCUUGCCCGAGAAGACCACCAUCUGGCAUGAGAACGAGAUAUGUAAACAGUUACUGUACAAGGCGUAAAAGAUCUAUGUACAGAUUGCCGUAGGGACCAACAGUUCCGUCUGGAGGAACCAAGAAAAGCUUCAGAGAGGAGCAGCUGUCUGAAGAACAUAGAGCCCUUUAUGGAUGGGGAAACUGAGGCUCAAAGAGGCGAGAUGACGUGCCCAAAGUCAAAAGAGAGGGUGAACCUGAAUCCAGAUUUUCUCUCAGUCACUAUACCCGGGAUGCCACGGCUGACCACGCACCACGUUGGGCGCCUUAGAAAUGGCAGAUGAUUUAGCCACUUGACUCGCGCAGGAAGCUGAGGUCUGGAGUUCUACUCCAUGCCCAUCACAGCAGAUACCCGAAAAAUGGACACCUGGGAAGGAGACGGAGGAAAUGUAAGCCUCACACACCAGAUUCCUCCUGAGGGAGACAAGGUGCAGGCCCGAGUUCACAGCAAAUAAAUGCGAACCAGAGGAGACAUCAGAUGGGCGUUCAGGGACAGCACCGAGAACCAUGCAGAGAGUCGGACACGAACACGGAAGGGCCAGGAGCAAGGGUGUCCCUGUGCAGCAUUAACCAGGAAGCCUGCUCUCCCAGGAUGCACCCGUACGUGAUGAGGAAGGAUCUGGAGCUACGCUGGACGCCCCAGACUUCAGGUCUCCCAUCUCAAAGCCUCGUGUAUCUCUUGAGUUACGAGGAAAGGCCAAUAUGGGAUAACAUCUCUGAUUUUUUGUGAGCCUGAUGGAAGGAUCUCGCAUUUGGGGUUAUCUAAGGCCACCAUGUGCCCUUGGAGCCACCAUGCUGCGAGGAAGCCCAAUCACAUGGAGAGGCUCACGUGGAAAGAAAACAAGGUUCUGGGCCCUCAAGUCCAACGAGCUCCCAGCCAACAGCCAGCAUCAACUUGCCAGCCACGUGAGUGAGCCCUUCUUGGAAAGAGAUCCUCUAGUCCUAGUCAAGACACCCCAGAUGAUUCUGGGAGGAGCAGACACGACCAUUUCCUGCCAAGUCCUGCCCACGUUCCAGAUUCAUGAGAAAAACAAGUAAUCGUUCAAGCCGCUGGGUUUGGGGCUGGUUUCUUACACUGUAUAUUACUGUGUAACUAUCCAUGAGCAACACCCAUGUAACUAUCACCACCUCUAGAUAAAGAAAAUUUCUGUUAGCCCAGAAGUUUCCCUCAGGCACCCUUCCAGUCAACCACCCCAACCAGCAAAAGGUAAUUGCUCCUUUGACCUCCAGCAACACAUACAACUUUUGCCUAUUGUGAAGCUUCAUAUAAAUGGAAAUGUGAUGUGUUUUUGUUUUAUGUAUUGAGCUUCUUUAGCUCAAUAGGUUUAUGAAAUUAAUUCAGGUUGUUUCAGGAGUGGGGUUUAUUCUUUUUCAUCCAUUAUACAAAUAUACCACCAUUUAUCCCUUCUACUAUUGGUAAUCAUUUGGCCAUUUAUUUUUUUAUUAUUUUAUAUAUACUGUAUAUUUUUAAAGUUUUUUGUUUACUUAUUUUGAGAGAGAGAGAGAGAGAAAAGCACAGGCAGGGGAGGGGCAGAGAGAGAGAAUCCCAUGCAGGCUCUGCACUGUCAGGGCUCCAGCUCAUAACCAUGACCUGAGCCAAAAUCAAGAGUCCGAUGUUUAAGCGACCGAGCCACCCAGGUGCCCCCGUUUGGCCAUUUAUCAUGAGUAAAGCUGCUAUGCACAUUCACAUACUUUCUUUUGGUGGGCAUAAGCCUCGGGUUUUGUUGGAUAUAUAACCCAGGAGUUUAAUGGCUGGAGCUUUAGUAGU